AUGAGGAGGCAGCAGCUUCUAUAAGGUUCCAGCCUACCUCCAGGUAGGGAGAGAAGCCUUGAGCCUUAAUUAAUCUCUUUACCUGGACCCACACAAGGCUAACAUGGCUUUCUGCCAAGCAUCAGAGGAGCACUUAGAGAAGAAAGAGUAAACUGGAUGGCUGUCUGGAAACGAAAGGGAAAAUCCUUCAGAAGUCAAGAUUCUUAGGGCCAGGUACAUAGGCUGGUGAUCAGAAGGCAGCAUGGAGUAAUGGGAAGACCACUAGCUUCCACAUCAAAAGAAUGGGAUUUCCAGCUUACUGCCUGACCUUUGGGCCAAGGAUGUUGAUGACAAGAUCUUCCUUUCACCAUUUUCAAUUCCCAUGGCUGCUGAGGAGAUGGAGGCUGAAGAAAGCAGUUGCCAAGUUUUAGCACCGGAAGAGUUGUCCCAUUCAAAGAUGGCUACCAGGUUGGGUAAGAAGCAGGCCUGGUGAGCUGAGAUUCGUGGGGCUCUUGACCACUGAGUCCUGGGCUGUCUCUACUGAGGCUUGAGGAGAAAUGAUGGUCAAAGUAGUGUGGUAGCGGUGAUGGUAACAGAGAUGGUGCCUGAAGUCUCACCCUGAGGGCAUCUUGCUGCUUCAGCUCAGCUGGUUUGCCUGCCCCAUAAUUGCCAGUUGGCGAUAGUGGGAUAACAUAGGGACUGCUCACAAAAUGUCAUAAUAUGCAUAGGACUGGAGCAAGAAUCAUGAGAAGUUUUUUUUUUCCCCUAUAUCUUAACUAUGCCACAAAAUUCCACAAUGUCUUAUCUUUUUCUCUUCCAAUUUCCACAAAACUUUAGAUUUUAAUAGAAUGGUAAACGGGAAUGAGGUCAGGAUGCCCUCUCUAGAUUUUGAGCAGUCUCUGCAGGCACGAGGGAAGUUAUAAGGCUGGUAGCUGGAGAAGAAGUGGAGUUGCACAGGUAUAAUUAGAAGUAACAGAAGCAGAGCAGAUAACAAUAGAAAUGGGGAUGGGUUAUCCAAUCAGUCUGAUGUUUGUAUGCCUACUGGGUACAAUGUGCUAGAUAAGAUUCCGUGGGGGCAGGAUGGUGUAAAGAGACGACAUCAUUCUUGAGUGCAAGGAGUUUAAAAUCUACUUCUGGGUGGCAGUAGGGGAGUAAAGAAUAUGACACACAUCUGAGACAAAAAUCUCAGAAUACUCUUCAAUAAAUGGCAGGUUAAAGGAGUAGCAUAGAUUAUAUAUGUGUCUUUGGCUGGAAUAAUGGGGGAAGGCUCCACACAUGUAUGAUCUGGAUAGGAACUCCAGACAAUUUCUUCUUAAAGAAGUAUCUCUUCAUUUCUUCUAGUACUAAAUCUCGUUUUCUUUCUGCAUUAAUACUCAUGACUAAUGGAAAUGGAAGAAAAAGAUUUAACCUUUUUUAUGUACAAUGUAUUCUGUUUGUAUAUUUUCUUAUUGAAUGAUUAUUAUAUUUUUUAAUUCCAAGAAAUAUACUUUGGCCAUGUUGAAGUCUGCUUUAAAGCUUAAUUAGUGGGGGUUUUUUUAAGAAAAUUAUGCAUGUGAUUUUCAAAAUUCGAAGAAUGAGAAAACCGGGGCAGCUAGUUGAUGCAGGUAGAGUACUGGCCUGGAGUUGGA